AACGAACGCUGGCGGCAUGCCUAACACAUGCAAGUCGAACGAGACCUUCGGGUCUAGUGGCGCACGGGUGCGUAACGCGUGGGAACCUGCCCUUAGGUUCGGAAUAACUCCCCGAAAGGGGUGCUAAUACCGGAUAAUGUCUUCGGACCAAAGAUUUAUCGCCUUUGGAUUGGCCCGCGUUGGAUUAGCUAGUUGGUAGGGUAAAAGCCUACCAAGGCGACGAUCCAUAGCUGGUCUGAGAGGAUGAUCAGCCACACUGGGACUGAGACACGGCCCAGACUCCUACGGGAGGCAGCAGUGGGGAAUAUUGGACAAUGGGCGAAAGCCUGAUCCAGCAAUGCCGCGUGAGUGAUGAAGGCCUUAGGGUUGUAAAGCUCUUUUACCCGGGAUGAUAAUGACAGUACCGGGAGAAUAAGCUCCGGCUAACUCCGUG
rnacentral:rRNA from 1 species